UACAGAGGUCUCAAGCGUUGUUCGGAUUCAUUGGGCGUAAAGGGUGCGUAGGCGGCGCGGUAAGUCGGGUGUGAAAUCUCGGGGCUUAACUCCGAAACUGCAUUCGAUACUGCCGUGCUUGAGGACUGGAGAGGAGACUGGAAUUUACGGUGUAGCGGUGAAAUGCGUAGAUAUCAGGAGGAAUACCGAUGGCGAAGGCAGUACUCUGGGCUAACACUGACGCUGAGGUGCGAAAGCGUGGGGAGCAAACGGG
rnacentral:rRNA from 1 species